rnacentral:rRNA from 1 species
AUGAAAAGUUACCUAGGACGUCCAACAAUAAGCUGCAGUGACGCUGCGAAGAUAUAUAUCAAUCCAGAUAUACCUGAGAAGAUAGAAUAUUGUACCAGACUAGGUAAGCAAAUGCCUACAAUGACAGUCAUGGCAGCACGUGAUGAUCGCUACAAUCCAGCAAUUAAUAAUGAAAGGGCUGACACCGUGAAGGUCGAGUUCCUGGUUACCAUGAAUCCUAAUGAAUUCCUUGGCAAGAAUAUGAUCAGCACGGUCACAAUAAUGAGACUGGCCUCAGAACAUUGGUGGUUCCUCUCUUGCCAAAUGUGCCAUAGGAAGGCAUUUCAAGUUGGGAGUGCAUUUGUUUGCAGCAAUAAAAAAUGUGGUUGUACAUCAGCUACACCAAGGUACAAGGUCCGUCUUAUUGGUGCCGACGAAUCAGGGGAAAUUGAGUUUGUGUUCUUUGCUUCAGUUGCUGAAUAG